UGGCGACCGGCGCACGGGUGAGUAACACGUAUCCAGCCUGCCGAUGACUCGGGGAUAGCCUUUCGAAAGAAAGAUUAAUACCCGAUGGCAUAGUUCUUCCGCAUGGUAGAACUAUUAAAGAAUUUCGGUCAUCGAUGGGGAUGCGUUCCAUUAGGUUGUUGGCGGGGUAACGGCCCACCAAGCCUUCGAUGGAUAGGGGUUCUGAGAGGAAGGUCCCCCACAUUGGAACUGAGACACGGUCCAAACUCCUACGGGAGGCAGCAUG
rnacentral:rRNA from 1 species